GACGAACGCUGGCGGCGUGCCUAAUACAUGCAAGUCGAACGAACUCUGGUAUUGAUUGGUGCUUGCAUCAUGAUUUACAUUUGAGUGAGUGGCGAACUGGUGAGUAACACGUGGGAAACCUGCCCAGAAGCGGGGGAUAACACCUGGAAACAGAUGCUAAUACCGCAUAACAACUUGGACCGCAUGGUCCGAGUUUGAAAGAUGGCUUCGGCUAUCACUUUUGGAUGGUCCCGCGGCGUAUUAGCUAGAUGGUGGGGUAACGGCUCACCAUGGCAAUGAUACGUAGCCGACCUGAGAGGGUAAUCGGCCACAUUGGGACUGAGACACGGCCCAAACUCCUACGGGAGGCAGCAGUAGGGAAUCUUCCACAAUGGACGAAAGUCUGACGGAGCAACGCCGCGUGAGUGAAGAAGGGUUUCGGCUCGUAAAACUCUGUUGUUAAAGAAGAACAUAUCUGAGAGUAACUGUUCAGGUAUUGACGGUAUUUAACCAGAAAGCCACGGCUAACUACGUGCCAGCAGCCGCGGUAAUACGUAGGUGGCAAGCGUUGUCCGGAUUUAUUGGGCGUAAAGCGAGCGCAGGCGGUUUUUUAAGUCUGAUGUGAAAGCCUUCGGCUCAACCGAAGAAGUGCAUCGGAAACUGGGAAACUUGAGUGCAGAAGAGGACAGUGGAACUCCAUGUGUAGCGGUGAAAUGCGUAGAUAUAUGGAAGAACACCAGUGGCGAAGGCGGCUGUCUGGUCUGUAACUGACGCUGAGGCUCGAAAGUAUGGGUAGCAAACAGGAUUAGAUACCCUGGUAGUCCAUACCGUAAACGAUGAAUGCUAAGUGUUGGAGGGUUUCCGCCCUUCAGUGCUGCAGCUAACGCAUUAAGCAUUCCGCCUGGGGAGUACGGCCGCAAGGCUGAAACUCAAAGGAAUUGACGGGGGCCCGCACAAGCGGUGGAGCAUGUGGUUUAAUUCGAAGCUACGCGAAGAACCUUACCAGGUCUUGACAUACUAUGCAAAUCUAAGAGAUUAGACGUUCCCUUCGGGGACAUGGAUACAGGUGGUGCAUGGUUGUCGUCAGCUCGUGUCGUGAGAUGUUGGGUUAAGUCCCGCAACGAGCGCAACCCUUAUUAUCAGUUGCCAGCAUUAAGUUGGGCACUCUGGUGAGACUGCCGGUGACAAACCGGAGGAAGGUGGGGAUGACGUCAAAUCAUCAUGCCCCUUAUGACCUGGGCUACACACGUGCUACAAUGGAUGGUACAACGAGUUGCGAACUCGCGAGAGUAAGCUAAUCUCUUAAAGCCAUUCUCAGUUCGGAUUGUAGGCUGCAACUCGCCUACAUGAAGUCGGAAUCGCUAGUAAUCGCGGAUCAGCAUGCCGCGGUGAAUACGUUCCCGGGCCUUGUACACACCGCCCGUCACACCAUGAGAGUUUGUAACACCCAAAGUCGGUGGGGUAACCUUUUAGGAACCAGCCGCCUAAGGUGGGACAGAUGAUUAGGGUG
rnacentral:rRNA from 1 species